CAGCAGUGGGGAAUAUUGCACAAUGGGCGCAAGCCUGAUGCAGCGACGCCGCGUGAGGGAUGACGGCCUUCGGGUUGUAAACCUCUUUCAGUAGGGAAGAAGCGUAAGUGACGGUACCUGCAGAAGAAGCGCCGGCUAACUACGUGCCAGCAGCCGCGGUAAUACGUAGGGCGCAAGCGUUAUCCGGAAUUAUUGGGCGUAAAGAGCUCGUAGGCGGUUUGUUGCGUCUGCUGUGAAAGACCGGGGCUCAACUCCGGUUCUGCAGUGGGUACGGGCAGACUAGAGUGCAGUAGGGGAGACUGGAAUUCUUGGUGUAGCGGUGAAAUGCGCAGAUAUCAGGAGGAACACCGAUGGCGAAGGCAGGUCUCUGGGCUGUAACUGACGCUGAGGAGCGAAAGCAUGGGGAGCGAACAGGAUUAGAUACCCUGGUAGUCCAUGCCGUAAACGUUG
rnacentral:rRNA from 1 species